UAGGGAAUUUUGCGCAAUGGGCGAAAGCCUGACGCAGCAACACCGCGUGAGCGAUGAAGCCCUUUGGGGUGUAAAGCUCUGUCAGCAGGGAAGAAAAAGUGACUGUACCUGCAGAGGAAGCAUCGGCUAACUACGUGCCAGCAGCCGCGGUAAGACGUAGGAUGCAAGCGUUGUCCGGAAUUAUUGGGCGUAAAGAGUUCGUAGGCGGCAUAGCAAGUCUGGUGUUAAAGGUCGGGGCUUAACCCCGGUAUGGCACUGGAUACUGCUAAGCUAGAGUACAGAAGAGGCAAGGGGAAUUCCCAGUGUAGCGGUGAAAUGCGUAGAUAUUGGGAGGAACACCAGUGGCGUAAGCGCCUUGCUGGGCUGUUACUGACGCUGAGGAACGAAAGCCAGGGGAGCA
rnacentral:rRNA from 1 species